rnacentral:rRNA from 1 species
UACGUAGGUGGCAAGCGUUGUCCGGAAUCACUGGGCGUAAAGCGCGCGCAGGCGGCGAUCUACGUCUGGGGUGAAAGCCCGGAGCUCAACUCCGGGACUGCCUUGGAUACGGGAUCGCUUGAGGAUUGGAGAGGCAAGGGGAAUUCCACGUGUAGCGGUGAAAUGCGUAGAUAUGUGGAGGAACACCUGUGGCGAAGGCGCCUUGCUGGCCAAUUUCUGACGCUGAGGCACGAAAGCGUGGGGAGCAAACAGG